UACGUAGGGUGCAAGCGUUAAUCGGAAUUACUGGGCGUAAAGCGUGCGCAGGCGGCUUUGCAAGACAGAUGUGAAAUCCCCGGGCUUAACCUGGGAACUGCAUUUGUGACUGCAUGGCUGGAGUGCGGCAGAGGGGGAUGGAAUUCCGCGUGUAGCAGUGAAAUGCGUAGAUAUGCGGAGGAACACCGAUGGCGAAGGCAAUCCCCUGGGCCUGCACUGACGUCAUGCACGAAAGCGUGGGGAGCAAACAGG
rnacentral:rRNA from 1 species